UCUCAAGUACAUGUUGAUGCAUCCAUAAAAGAAUGUAAAUUUUAUCAGGGCAGGUGUUAGAAAUUUCCGGGCACAGUCAUAGAGGGCACGGAGACCAGUCGACUUUCAGGAGUAACAGCUCAAGGUCAUAAAAGACAAAGACAGACUGAGGAAUUGUCACAGAUUGGAG